rnacentral:rRNA from 1 species
CCUACGGGAGGCAGCAGUGAGGAAUAUUGGUCAAUGGACGAGAGUCUGAACCAGCCAAGUAGCGUGCAGGAUGACUGCCCUAUGGGUUGUAAACUUCUUUUAUAUGGGAAUAAAAUGCUCCACGUGUGGGGUUUUGUAUGUACCACAUGAAUAAGGAUCGGCUAACUCCGUGCCAGCAGCCGCGGUAAUACGGAGGAUCCGAGCGUUAUCCGGAUUUAUUGGGUUUAAAGGGAGCGUAGGUCGAUUGUUAAGUCAGUGGUGAAAUGUUGCGGCUCAACCGUGAAAUUGCGGUUAAAACUGGCAUUCUUGAGUACAGGAGAGGUGUGCGGAAUUCGUGGUGUAGCGGUGAAAUGCUUAGAUAUCACGAAGAACUCCGAUUGCGAAGGCAGCACACUGGAGCGCAACUGACACUGAGGCUCGAAAGUGUGGGUAUCGAACAGGAUUAGAUACCCUAGUAGUC